GGUGACUUCUGAAGCUGAACGUUUACUGGUUACCCAACUUGCGUACACGCUGUCGACGUCGCUUGAAUAAGACGUCAUACAAGAAUUGUCAUAUUAGCAAGGCGUAUGGGUUGGGUGAGUCUCUUGGCGUCCUGGGUAGCUUGUGCCUGGUGGUAGUCGUAGUGCUGUUCCUAAUGCAGAGAUGGCGAAAAUGCAUUUGAUUUUAUCCACAUCUCUCUGUAUUGUUUAUGGGGUUAGUGUUGCCUUUACACACGACGCUUGGCGUGUAGGAACUUGAUCGCAGUAACGACGUUUGGUUUUGAAGAUCUAGAAGUUAGUUCAACACGUGGUACGGUCGCAUGUAUGCUGCAUCAAUUGAGUCGAUGUCCUGCACGAGGUUAAGAGCGCUGCACCAAAGCCAGGCUAUGCGCGUGAAUUGUCACAACAUAUAUGGCAUCACAGGCCAUAAGCAUGAAUCCGACAAACAUACUUGGAGCCAAUGCUACUUGCUGGCCAUAAGCAUGAAUCCGACAAACACUUGCAGCCAAUGCUACUUGCUGGCCAUAAGCAUGAAUCCGACAAACAUACUUGGCGCCAAAGCUACUUGCUGGCCAUAA
rnacentral:lncRNA from 1 species